rnacentral:rRNA from 1 species
CGCCUGUUUAUCAAAAACAUGGCCUCUUGAAUAUUGAUGGGAGGUCUGACCUGCCCAGUGAUUUAGGAUUAAAUGGCCGCAGUAUUUUAACUGUGCAAAGGUAGCAUAAUCAUUUGUCUUUUAAUUGAAGGCUUGUAUGAAUGGUUGGACGAGGGGUAAGCUUUCUUUAGUUUAAAUUUGGAUUUAGAAUUUAAUUUUUUUGUUAGAAAGCAAAAAUUAAAUUAUGGGACGAGAAGACCCUAUAGAACUUUAUUUAAUGUGGGAAUCAAGUGGGUUAGUCAUUUAUUAUUAAUAUGGAUGCUUGGUUAUUUUCAUUAAAUUGUGUUGGGGUGACAGGGAAAUAAUUAUAACUUUCUUUUAUUUUAUGUCAUAAAUUAGUGUUUUAUUGAUCCAAUUGUUAUUGAUUAUAAGAUUAAGUUACCUUAGGGAUAACAGCGUAAUUUUCUCGGAGAGUUCUUAUCGAUGAGGGAGUUUGCGACCUCGAUGUUGGAUUAAAAUAAGUAGUAGGAGCAGCAUCUUACUUACUAGGUCUGUUCGACCUUUGAAUUUUUACAUGAUCUGAGUUCAAACCGGAG